rnacentral:rRNA from 1 species
GUCCGUACGAGCGCAACCCUUGUCCUUAGUUACCAGCACGUUAUGGUGGGCACUCUAAGGAGACUGCCGGUGACAAACCGGAGGAAGGUGGGGAUGACGUCAAGUCAUCAUGGCCCUUACGGCCUGGGCUACACACGUGCUACAAUGGUCGGUACAAAGGGUUGCCAAGCCGCGAGGUGGAGCUAAUCCCAUAAAACCGAUCGUAGUCCGGAUCGCAGUCUGCAACUCGACUGCGUGAAGUCGGAAUCGCUAGUAAUCGUGAAUCAGAAUGUCACGGUGAAUACGUUCCCGGGCCUU